GAUGAACGCUGGCGGCGCGCCUAAUACAUGCAAGUCGAGCGAACAGACGAGGAGCUUGCUCCUCUGACGUUAGCGGCGGACGGGUGAGUAACACGUGGAUAACCUACCUAUAAGACUGGGAUAACUUCGGGAAACCGGAGCUAAUACCGGAUAAUAUAUUGAACCGCAUGGUUCAAUAGUGAAAGACGGUUUUGCUGUCACUUAUAGAUGGAUCCGCGCCGCAUUAGCUAGUUGGUAAGGUAACGGCUUACCAAGGCAACGAUGCGUAGCCGACCUGAGAGGGUGAUCGGCCACACGGGAACUGAGACACGGUCCAGACUCCUACAGGAGGCAGCAGUAGGGAAUCUUCCGCAAUGGGCGAAAGCUUGACAGAGCAACGCCGCGUGAGUGAUGAAGGUCUUCGGAUCGUAAAGCUCUGUUAGUAGGGAAGAACAAAUGUGUAAGUAACUAUGCACGUCUUGACGGUACCUAAUCAGAAAGCCACGGCUAACUACGUG
rnacentral:rRNA from 1 species